UGAGGUGUGGCUCAGUUGGUAGAGUGCUUGCCUAGCAUGCAGGAAGCCCUGGAUUCCAUCCCCACCACCACAU
rfam:Neotoma lepida isolate 417 scaffold_2138, whole genome shotgun sequence.